GUGAAUUCUAUGCUGAGGAAUCCUAGCUGAAGCCUCCCCCUGCUACUCAGGAGUCUAUGGAUUUGCAUAUAUGGGUGGCACUGAGAUCCCAUGUCCCUUUGCAGUAUGUGUACAGCAACAGCUGUAUCCAGGGUCAUUCUAGACAGAUAUUUCCUUCUGACGGAUGGGGGCGAUCAAAUGCAGAUGAAGUUAUCUCCUAGUCAGAGCCUCAUGCUCAUGACAAGAGUGUUUAUAUCGUGGGGAUCGGCAGUGGGCCCACAUCGCUUGUCCUGAGGUGUCAUAGAGCAGGGGUGGUCAUGCAGAAUUUGUUGCAAGCAGUGCCAAGUUGCAAGAG